GUCUUGAGUAGGUGGCAGCUUAUAUAGCUAUUUAUUAUCACCACAUCAAAUACUCUUGAUCUAGAUCUCCAAUUCUAGCAGGAUCAGUCUGGUUAGUUGCCCUUGCUGCUCAGGAUGUUUGGGCAAUUCUAGAUGACGGGCACAUAUCCACAAUCUACUAUUGAUGAAGUACAAGAUUGUAAAUUUAUGUUCCUAAAGGAUAUAACAAGAAGUCUUACAUAAGGCUAUAAUAAACCAUGUGGAAUCAGAACCUUCUUAUUACUUGUCC